UUUGAUACUAUUGAUUCGUGUUUUAGCUUCUAACUGAGUUAAUACUUGUUUGAUUGAUAUCAAUUUUGGAUCUUCCUUCAAUUUUAAUAUCAUCAAAGGGUUGGUUUUACCGCUUACUGCUUUUUCAGGAUCGAUGGGCAUAGCAGUAAUUUGCAUACCUUGGAUUAUAGAGCGGAUUAGUCUAAUCAAACACGGGAUCAUACAAGCUUCUUGGGCAUUUAAUGAUUGUUGGCAAGGAGCGUGCUGCUCACCUGGGCCUGACCAAUGGAUUCCGGAGGGUUGUGAACGAAGGGCCGGAGGAUGGCCAGUCUGUGUAUCACGUACGUCUACGUCAGUUGGGCUGGCCACCUGGCUAAGAGUUUUUCACCGCAGGAGUUGCUGCACAUGUACACGUCGCCACUGCAUGGAUUUCGACUGUUGCCCAUCAAUCUAGCCUCUGUCGAUGUCUGAUUUUUCUGUGACGUGUGUCUGUGGAAGGUAAUAAAGCUUUGAGCAGCAGUUGCACAAUAAAGAUCGAGCAUGGGGAUAUCA